rnacentral:rRNA from 1 species
UGGUUUUCUGCGAAAAUUGUUUUGGCAAAUUGUUUAUUUUAUUUCAUUUGGUAUAAUAUUGAUAUAAUAUUAAUUAUAAAUUAAAUGAUUGUAUAAAUAGUGGGUAUAGCACUGAACACCUUGAGGGAGUAUUAUUAUAUUUAUCUCGGGUAUUUAAUCUCAAAAUAACUAUUUAUUAAGGUAAAUAAUCAGACUAUUUGCGAUAAGGUAGAUAGUCAAAAGGGAAACAGCCCUGAACAGUUUUUAAAGCUCCCCAAUUAAUAUUAAGUGAGA